AAACACUGCGUCCCUGCUGUGCCAUCUGUCACUCAGGGUUGAUUAGGCUGACUUAGCUGGCUAGACAGGCAUCCCUUCCCUCUCUCAAUGCUCCAUCUGUGUCUUUCCAGAAGCUGUGCUCAGCUGAGAUGAUGUCCUUCCUUGACUGAGAACCAUUCAUCAGUGACUGGUAUAUGAAGGACUGUGUUCCCCUGCUGGUACCUCCAAAUGAGUGCUCAAGUCACGGCUUAGUAUUUAAGAAACAUUUAAAUUCUUUUUGCAAGGCAAUCCCAUAAUAAAACAAGUACAACCUAGGACCCUGAAAAACAGCCACUACUA
ensembl:misc_RNA 7SK 7SK RNA